CAGGCCCUGCCUUGAUUUUCAUGCAAGAAAGGCCAGCAUUUCCGUUUCCCCAGAUGCCAGCAGGCCAGGAGCUCCUCUGUACCCCUCCCUCUUCCUCCAGGUCUUGUCUCUUCUCAGAUGGGAACAGAUGCUGAAACACGCACACACACAUGCAUGCACAUGCACACACUCCCUCCAUGUCCUCCCCCAGAUCUUAUCUGCUCUGACCCUCUGGCCACCGCACAUGGAGAGAAGGUGUUCCACCUUUGGGCGUGGAGGGCAGGCACGAAGAAGACGUUUUCCUCUUCCCUCCUUACCAAGAGCAGUCUCUCAGCAACCCCGACAUAAUCCAAGUGCUUUGAGGGGAAAAGCAGCUCCUAUAGCUUUCUGGUCCCUCAUGGUGCCUUGGACAAGACGCGGCUACAUAAACAGCAUUGCCUUCAACUCCAUGCUGACUUGCACCUGUUGACUGGUUCUGUCCCUUUUGGCUCUUCUGGUGAGGCAGGAGGACACAGUUCUACUCACAGGACUCUAACAAGGAGAAGAGUUUAAAGUGGCUUUUCCACCUGGAAGCAAUACUGCUUGAAUCGCGCACCCUUUCUCCAGCACUCACCAGGCCCCUUUCUCCCCUGCGCUCUUCAGCAUCCUUCCCAUGGAGCCAUGCCUGGCUGCGGUGGUCCCACUGGAGUGGCAGCUCUGGGAGGAGUCCGGGUCCUGGCAGGAGGUUGGCUCACUUAUAUAAAAAUGAACAUCUACCCAUCAGAAGCAUGGUUCAAGACCCUCUGCAUGCAGCCUGAAAGAUAGACUUCGGGGACGGCUCUGUGGUCAAGGGCAAACAUCAAAUGUAUUUUUUAUUGACUGUUUAAGGACAAAAACAAUGUGAGUGUAUAUACACAUUCAAUCCUCAUUAUUCACCAAUUCCGUAUGUAUGAAUUUGUCUACUCACUAAAAUUUGUUUGUAACCCACAAAUCAAUACACAUGGUGCUUUUGUAGUCAUUUGUAGACGUGGGCAGAGUGGCAAAAAAAUCUGAGUCGCCCAAUGGGCACACUCACAGCUGAGGUCAAACGAGGUGACGCUGGUUUCAGCUCUCACACUGUAAGCACUGUCCUCUUCCCCAUCUAUUUAGUGCCACGUUUUUUGCAUUUUUGUGUUUUUUGUUGGUGAUUUUGUUGUUUCAAAUGGCCCCCAAGCGUAGUGUUGAAAAGCUGUCUAGUGUUCUUAAGCCAAAGAAGGCUG
rnacentral:lncRNA from 1 species